CCAAGAACCCCAUAUCUCCUCUCCAUCCCCAUCUCCCCACUCUGUCCCCAGUACCCUGCGCUCUGCCUGAUCCCGCAGUCAUUGCCUUGACAUCACUGGCCUUCACCCUCCUCCUGUCUGCAGCCACCUUCUGGACCAUCAGGAAAGGUGUCUGCACAGAGAGAUGCCAAAGGCAGCAGAAUGAUCCCAGCCAGCAAAUGGAAGCCACCAACUAUGGAGAAAUACAGUGUGAGUGCUGGGCAAGCCCUGACCAUUGGGAUCCCUUUCCCAUAGACUUCC
rnacentral:lncRNA from 1 species